CCCCCUCACUGUAAGUGUUUGUACGCAACACACAGUGGGAGUUUUGAUAUACAAUUAUCUGCAUCCCAUGGGGGGGAAGAGAGUUGCUCAAUAGUCCCUAAACAGAGAGGAGAGGAGAUAAAAACACAUAUACCCACAGAUUUAUUUGGCUAUUGAGAGUAGCAUGUUGGAAAGUUUGCGAUGACUGCCCUCUAGCCGUAAAAUAAAGAUUGUACACCGCAGUAUAAUCCGGAAAAUACAGGACAUACUACUAUAUCUGAUGUCAUCUAAACAUUUAUUCUCUUAAUACAGUCUAAAGAAAUCAUUAGGAAAUCAAAUUACAUCAUAUGCACAGAGUGAUACAAAAAUACAUUUGUGGCCCCAUGGCUUUUCCCACAAUCAGAGGAAGGACAAGUAUGCAGUAGUCAUGUGUCUCACACAGAAUGCAUUUUCUCUAUUUCAGAUCAGAACAGAAAAGUAAAAGGUUAUUAACUUCAGUUAGACUGUAGACAGAGACUGAGGAAAUGAAAGGAGACUGAUACCCACAGCCACAGGCACACAUACAGUACUGUUCAUCCCAAUGGCAUACCUCCAGUUCUUUAAUCACCUCAAAAAAUAUAUAUCCAUGAUAAACUUCUAUCCAUCUGAAUGACAUGACUUCAUCGAGUGAUUAGAUUCUACAGUAGAACAUCUCAGACUUCAAUCAAAUUCAUGAUUCGAUGAACAACCAUGCUCAACCAUGAUUGGCUUUUGUAAAUACACUAAACAAAAAUAUAAAUGCAGCACGCAACAAUUUCUAUGAUUUUACAGUUACAGUUCAUAUAAGGAAAUCAGUCAAUUGAAAUAAAUUAAUUAGGCCCUAAUCUAUUUAUUUUACAUGACUGGGAAUACAGAUAUGCAUCUGUUGGUCACAGAUACCUUUAAAAAAGUAGGGGAGUGGAUCAGAAAACCAGUCAGUAUCUAGUGUGACCACCAUUUGGCUCAUGCAGCAUGACACAUCUCCUUUGCAUAGAGUUGAUCAGGCUGUUGAUUGUGGCCUGUGAAAUGUUGUCCCACUCCUCUUCAAUGGCUGUGCAAAGUUGCUGGAUAUUGGCGAGAACUGGAACACACUGUCGUGCACGUCAAUCCAGAGCAUCCUAAACAUGCUCCAUGGAUGACAUCUCUGGUAAAUAUGCAGGUCAUGGAAGAACUGGGUCAUUUUCAGCUUCCAGGAAUUGUGUACAGAUCCUUGCGACAUGGGGCUGUGCAUUAUCAUGCUGAAACAUGAGGUGAUGGCGGUGGAUGAAUGGCACAACAAUGGGCAUCAGAAUCUCGUCACGGUAUCUCUGUGCAUGCAAACUGCCAUAGAUAAAAUGCACUUGUGUUUGUUGUCCGUAGCUUAUGCCUGCCCAUACUAUAACACCACCGCCACCUGCCCAUACCAUAAUCCCACCGCCAUACCAUAACCCCCCAACAUUGACAUCAGCAAACCGCACGCCCACAUAACGCCAUACACACUUUCUGCCAUCUGCCUUGUACAGUUGAAACCGGGAUCCGGGAAGAGCACAGUUCUCCAGUAUGCCAGUGGCCAUCGAAGGUGAGCUUUUGCACACUGAAGUCUGUUACAACACCGAACUGCUGUCAGGUCAAGACUCUGGUGGGGACGAUGAGCUUGCGGAUGAGCUUCCGAGACGGUUUCUGACAGUUUGUGCAGAAAGUCUUUGGAUGUGCAUGCCCACACUUUCAUCAGCUGUCCGGGUGGCUGGUCUCAGAUGAUACUGCAGGUGUAGAAGCCAGAUAUGGAGGUCUUGGGCUGGCGUGGUUACACGUGGUCUGCGGUUGUGAGGCCGGUUAGACGUCCUGCCAAUUUCUCUAAAACAAUGUUGGAGGCAGCUUAUGGUAGAGAAAUUAACAUUGAAUUCUCUGGAAACAGCUCUGGUGGACAUUCCUGCAGUCAGCAGGCCAAUUGCAUGCUCCCUCAAAAUUUGAGACAUCUGUGGCAUUGCGUUGUGUGACAAAACUGCACAUUUUAGUGUGGCCUUUUAUUGUCCCUAGCACAAGGUGCACCUGUGUAAUGACCAUGCUGUUUAAUCAUCUUCUUGAUAUGCCACACCUGUCAGGUGGAUGGAUUAUCUUGCCAAAAGAGAAAUGCUCACUAACAGGGACGUAAAACAAAUUUGUGCACCAAAUUAGAGAGAAAUAUGAUUUUUUUAUGUGAAUGGUACAUUUCCGAGAUCUUUCAUUUCAACUCAUGAAACAUGGGACCAACACUUUACAUUUUGCAUUUAUAUUUUUGUUCAGUGUAUAACGACAAAGAACUGAAAUAUCCAAGUCUUUGGUAUGGACCUCCUUUUUUCCUAUUUGGCUUGAAAAAAGAUCCAGUAAAAUGGCAUAGCUUUAUUACCAUGAACGCACUUGAUAUCAGACAGGUUGUCAGACAGGUUGUCAGAUCCAUUAGGCCGACCUUUGACCUUUUUGACAUCUUUUUGUCACAUACAGAAUAAUCUUGGAAAUCCAGAAUUACAAUCUUGCGUAAUUGCGUUAGAUACUCAAUUAUUUUCUGGGGGAAGAUGUGUUUGAAAAUAGACUAGAGCAAGCAGUGGAAGCAGGACAGUAGCUCCACCCCCCUUUGCAAGUUACAGGCAAGUCUAUGGGCCAAAUGUCCCCUCCCCUUCCGAAAUUCAAAAGAUGCGAAAUUGUGAUUUGUCCAAAAUGAUCAGUGAUGUUUCAUGUUUUCAGUUCCUUGAUAGUCGUCGCAUCCCACAGACACUACAAUACCAGCUAUGUUACGUGCGUCUGUCCACGAGAGAUUACACACACAGAACAGUGGGGAUUUUGAUAGAGGUGAAUAGAGAGAAUUUUGAUAGAGGUGACAGUUAGAGGUGAUUAGACACAAUCUCAGUGAGUAUUAUGUAGGUUAUAAGGAACUGUCUAUCGAAGCACAAUGUCAAACUGGGCCACACAACUUCCCACAUUUGGCUGGUGCUCUACUGUUGCCUUCCAUUUCAAAUUACUUUAGGCAGCGAGCACUUAUGAACGUUUGUGUCACAGGCAGGCAGUGUUUGAUUAUGUCAUUAACUCUGGCCACUAUAAUCUCUCUGUGGCUAAGCAUUCUUUGAUUGGCAGCUACAGUGGCCCAUCAUCUUGAUUUCUCACUGAUUGACAGUCACAGCGGCCCAUCUUGUUCUCUCUCUGAUUGGCAGGCGCAGUGGCCUAUCAUCUGGUCCUCUCUCAGGAGAAGAUUGGGGAGGGGCGGGGCUUACAUGUCUGUCUGGAACAGGAACUUCCUCUAGUAACGCCACAGGAGCCAGACCUCGUCUGCCAUUCACCUGAAACACAUAGUCACUCAGUAAGCUAUCUACAGUACAGCUGCACUCAUCUGUUUAGAUAGCAGUCUGUAAGAUAGCAGUCUGAAAGAUAGUCUGUUAGAUAGUAGUCUGUUAGAUAGCAGUCCGU
rnacentral:lncRNA from 1 species